rnacentral:rRNA from 1 species
CAGGCUUAACACAUGCAAGUCGAGGGGCAUCAGGAAGAAAGCUUGCUUUCUUUGCUGGCGACCGGCGCACGGGUGAGUAACACGUAUCCAACCUGCCCUUUACUCGGGGAUAGCCUUUCGAAAGAAAGAUUAAUACCCGAUAGCAUAAUGAUUCCGCAUGGUUUCAUUAUUAAAGGAUUCCGGUAAAGGAUGGGGAUGCGUUCCAUUAGGUUGUUGGUGAGGUAACGGCUCACCAAGCCUUCGAUGGAUAGGGGUUCUGAGAGGAAGGUCCCCCACAUUGGAACUGAGACACGGUCCAAACUCCUACGGGAGGCAGCAGUGAGGAAUAUUGGUCAAUGGGCGGUAGCCUGAACCAGCCAAGUAGCGUGAAGGAUGAAGGCUCUAUGGGUCGUAAACUUCUUUUAUAUAAGAAUAAAGUGCAGUAUGUAUACUGUUUUGUAUGUAUUAUAUGAAUAAGGAUCGGCUAACUCCGUGCCAGCAGCCGCGGUAAUACGGAGGAUCCGAGCGUUAUCCGGAUUUAUUGGGUUUAAAGGGAGCGUAGGUGGACUGGUAAGUCAGUUGUGAAAGUUUGCGGCUCAACCGUAAAAUUGCAGUUGAUACUGUCAGUCUUGAGUACAGUAGAGGUGGGCGGAAUUCGUGGUGUAGCGGUGAAAUGCUUAGAUAUCACGAAGAACUCCGAUUGCGAAGGCAGCUCACUGGACUGCAACUGACACUGAUGCUCGAAAGUGUGGGUAUCAAACAGGAUUAGAUACCCUGGUAGUCCACACAGUAAACGAUGAAUACUCGCUGUUUGCGAUAUACAGUAAGCGGCCAAGCGAAAGCAUUAAGUAUUCCACCUGGGGAGUACGCCGGCAACGGUGAAACUCAAAGGAAUUGACGGGGGCCCGCACAAGCGGAGGAACAUGUGGUUUAAUUCGAUGAUACGCGAGGAACCUUACCCGGGCUUAAAUCGCAGUGGAAUGAUGUGGAAACAUGUCAGUGAGCAAUCACCGCUGUGAAGGUGCUGCAUGGUUGUCGUCAGCUCGUGCCGUGAGGUGUCGGCUUAAGUGCCAUAACGAGCGCAACCCUUAUCUUUAGUUACUAACAGGUCAUGCUGAGGACUCUAGAGAGACUGCCGUCGUAAGAUGUGAGGAAGGUGGGGAUGACGUCAAAUCAGCACGGCCCUUACGUCCGGGGCUACACACGUGUUACAAUGGGGGGUACAGAAGGCAGCUAGCGGGUGACCGUAUGCUAAUCCCAAAAGCCUCUCUCAGUUCGGAUCGAAGUCUGCAACCCGACUUCGUGAAGCUGGAUUCGCUAGUAAUCGCGCAUCAGCCACGGCGCGGUGAAUACGUUCCCGGGCCUUGUACACACCGCCCGUCAAGCCAUGGGAGCCGGGGGUACCUGAAGUGCGUAACCGCAAGGAUCGUCCUAGGGUAAAACUGGUGACUGGGGCUAAGU